AAGUAAGAUUGUUGCUGUUUUGCAAGUCCUUUUGAUUUCGAUCAUUCUCUUGGCUUUACAGGUGGUUGCUAGGGAACUAGUCGAGACUUUCAGCGAUCAAAAUCAUUAUCAUCAGAUGAAGAAGUUGAACGUUUCGCCAUAUGAUCACCCAUGGUCUAAAGGCCACAAUCCUUGAUGUCGAUGAUUCUGUUUCACAAAUUCAAGCAGAAUUCAAGACGAAGAGGUUGGCGUAAGCGAUCUCCCGAAGUUGGCAUUGAAUCUUAGUACUGCAGGCUACUAUACUGGGUUUUUUUUUUUU